GUGUUUGAUAAGUUAAACAAGGCACUCUUUAUUGCUUCAAUGUUGCAACCAUAUGAUCCUAAUCUCCCUUGCACGCUUGACAUUGAUGCUUUCAACUUUGCUAUUAGAGUGAUCUUUCAAUAAGACUUUGGUAGGAGCCUUCAACCUAUGGCAUAUGAAUCAUGCAAGCUUAGAAGAGCAAAGUGUAAUUACUUUGCAUGUGAUUUAGAGCAAUUAGCAAUUAUACACUCUGCAAAGUUGUGGCGAUAUUAUCAAUUGGGAAGCCAAUGAUUAUUCAGAUUGACCAUUGAUCCUUGUGUCAAGGACAUAAUCAUGUAAGCUAGUAAUUACAUAUAUAAAUAGAUAGAAGUAAGUAAAAGUAGGUAAAAGUAAGUUAAUUCUAUAGUAUUUAAUAUAAAAGCUUUCUAGAAGCUUCAUAGAUGUUGUUUUGACUUCAUAGGUGUCUUUAAUUAACUUUUUGGAUUAAAAACGUGGUCAACAAGUUGGCCAUGUACCACACAUGUUGUUAGCUUGAAGAUCAAGCUAACUAUAUAGUCCACACGUAGAAAAACUUGCCUUAUAAGUCAAGGCAUGUGUCCUACAAAGUCAAUACAUAUUAGAGGUCCUAUAGAACAUCUCCACAUAGCUCCUAGUUAGAUAGUAUAUAUAGAGACAAGAGUGAAGGCUUCUUCACUCUUGUCAACUCUUUUCUUGCUUCUAGUCUAGUUUCAAGGGUCUCUAGUUUUCUUGUCUUUUGGCAAUAGCCAUUCCAGUUUCUCUUUCAAUUUAUAUACUUGUUUAUAUAUAUUUUGUUACCUCUCUUUGAGUGAAGGCUCACUUGUCUGAAUUAUUUUUUCAUCGAGUUCUUGUCCUUGACAGAUUGACAAGAGUACACCUACAAUAUCAGAGCUUUGUCUAAUCUUGAUUAAGAGUGGAUUAUCCCUUUUUCUUGAUAAGAUAUAAGCAUAUUAGAAGUUGCAGAUUACCCUCUUCUAAACUGAUAUUGUCCUUAGUAUUUUUUUUGUUCCCAAGUCCUCUCUUCUAUUUGUCUUGAGCGAUAUUAGACAUCUUCUCUCUUCUAAGUGUUAUUAUGGCAGAACUUGUUGAAAUGAAGAAUGCAAUGGCAUAAAUGCAAGAGCAAUUAAGGGAGUUAAUGCUUACGAUGCAUCAACUCAAUUUACCACCACAAGGAGCAACAAGAUUGGUAGGAAGUGAAGAUAUAGAAAUGGUUGGAGCUGCUUUAACAUCUGGACCAAACCAUGUCCUUUCUCCUAUAGUGGAACGCCCUUCAAAUGUUAGAGAACCAAGAAUUGCCCUACACGAGAUGUUUGAUGGCACCAGAUCCAAGUUUCGAGGAUUUAUCAAUCAAGUGCAACUUGUGAUUGAACUUCAAUCCCAAAGCUAUGCAACUCCAAGAUUGUAAGUUAGAUUCAUUGGUACAAUUCUUUCAGAUUCAGCACUAUCAUGGUUUUCAUCUUCUCUUGAAUGAUGAGAUCCAAUAUUGGAUAAUCUAGAUUCUUUUCCGGUGGAGUUUCGAUCUAUGUAUAGAGAACAUGAUGCAAUUUGUGUUGCAACCAAUAAGAUCCGUAUUUUAUGACAAGUCAAUCAAUCAAUAACGUUAUACGCUUUAUAAUUUCAACAACUUGCAACUGAUAUCAAGUGGAAUGAUGCUGCAUUUAUUAGUCAAUUUCUCUAUGGAUUACAAUAUGAGGUAAAAAAAUUAAUGCUCAACUUACCUGAUCCUCAAACAUUGAGUCAAGCAAUUGACUUUGCUGUGAAGUACGACAAUCAUCUUUUUGAAUUUUGAUCUAAGAACCGUACAAGUGGACCUCAACGUUACUAUAAUUCAAUGGCAACACCAACACCUCUUCAACACAUACAUUUGGAAGUAGAGGAUAUGCAAAUUGAUGCAGUACGUUUCAAACCUCUUACUGAGCAAAAAAAGACUUGUCGUCGUUAAGAAGGAUUAUGUUUAUAUUGUGGAGAACCAAAGCAUACUGCUCAACAUUGUCCAAAGAAACGACGCAAUCACAAAAUGAGGAGUAUGGCUGUCAAAGAAGACAAUAUGUCAGAAAACGAGUUUGUUCAGUUACAAUAAGGAUUGUGCGGCUAGAACCUUGCACAACAUCUACUAAAGGUCCUAUUCUCUCCUCAAAGCCCUCUCCUUAUUUUACAUUAAAUGUUAUUUUAGGACCUAAACAUUACAAAGUCUCUGCCUUGUUAUAUUCAGGAGCCUCAGCGUGUUUUUUAGAUGAAGAAUUUACCAAAAGACAUAGCAUAUCUUUAGUAAAGAAAACUAAACUUGUUCAUGUAGAAGUCAUAGAUGAUCGUCCAUUGUCUUCUGGAGAUAUUACUCACGAAAUCCUUCCUAUAGAAAUAAUAAUCAAUGGUCAUAAUAGUUUUGUAGUAUUUAAUAUCAUUAGAUCUCCCUCUAAUCCAGUCAUUUUAGGUUUAUCGUGGUUAGAAAAAUACAACCCUCAAAUAGAUUGGAUUUCUCGAACUCUUACUUUCUCUAAAAGUAUAACUAAUAGUGUAGUUAAUCAAGUAGAGAGUCAUAAGUCCAGUUCAAUUAAACCCGUAUUUAUAGGUGCAAAAGCUUUUUUGCAUGCUGCUAUGAAAGAAUCACCAUAUAUUAUUUAUGCCACAUCCAUUUCUACUAGUGAAAAGACUUCAAGUGGCAUUCCAAGCCAAUAUCAAGAAUUUCAAGAUGUAUUUGAAAAAAAGAAUGCGGAUACACUCCCAGAACAUCGUCCCUAUGAUUGCUCAAUUGACCUUCAAGAAAGAGUACAAUCGCCAUUCGGACCAAUCUACAGUUUAUCACAAAAUGAGUUGACUGAACUCAAGGAAUAUAUUGAAGAAAAUCUAGCCAAGAAUUUCAUAUGCAUUCUAAAUCUCCGACAGGAGCUCCAAUUCUAUUUGUGAAGAAAAAAGAUGGAUCAUUGCGGAUGUGUGUUGAUUAUCGAGGACUCAACAAGAUUACCAUCAAGAACAUGUAUCCACUACCUUUAAUAUUUGGUCUUCUUGAUCAACUGAAUCAAGCUAAGAUCUAUACAAAAAUAAAUCUUCGGGGAGCAUACAAUCUAGUAUGCAUCAAAGAAGGAGAUGAAUGGAAGACUGCGUUUCGAACUAGGUAUAGACAUUUUGAAUACAACGUCAUAUCUUUUGGACUUACAAAUGCACGAGCAGCUUUUCAACAUCUAAUGAAUGAUGUUUUUUGAAAGUUUUUGGACGAUUUUGUGGUCUAUUAUCUAGAAGACAUCUUGAUCUAUUCUAAGAAUCCUGAACAACAUGAACUUCAUGUUCAUCGUGUGUUACAAAAAUUAAGAGAUAUAGGACUCUAUGCUAAGAUAGAAAAGUGUGUAUUCCACACUACUCAAGUCGAUUUCUUAGAUUAUAUCAUUUCAAAUGAUGCACUUAUGAUGGAUCCUAAGAAAGUUCAAACUAUUAUAGACUAGAAGAUCCCAAAAACGGUAAGAGAUGUCCAAUAUUUUUUGGGAUUUGCCAACUACUCUCGGAUCUUCAUCAAAGACUUCUCUCGAGUUGCAGCUCCACUUACAUAUUUGACUUGUAAAGACAAACUCCAAUGGAAUCAAGAAGCGGAAGUUGCUUUUGAAUCUUUGAAGACACCAUUUGUUUCUGCACCAAUUUAAUAUCGUGUUGAUUUUUCCAAAGCAUUCUUUAUGGAAACAGAUGCAUCGGACUUUGCUCUGGGUGCGAUUUUAUCACAAAUGGGAACAAAUGACAAACUUCAUCCAGUAGCCUUUCAUUCAAGAAAAUUCUCAGCAGCAAAAAUCAAUUAUGAGAUCCACGAUAAAGAACUUCUUGCAAUUGUGGAUUCUUUUUAAGAAUGGUGUCAUUAUCUAGAAGGCACUUUUAAUCCAGUUACCGUGUAUAUGGAUCACAAGAACCUCAAAUAUUUUAUGUCAACACGCGUAUUAAAUCAUCGCCAAGCUCGUUAGAGCAUGUCUUUAUCAAGAUUCGAAUUCAUCAUCACUUAUCGGCCAGGAAAAUAACAAGGUUUGUUCGAUGCCUUGUCUAGACAUUCUUAUCUUGCACCAAAAGAAGGAGAUGCAACUUUUGAGGAACAAAGAACGAUUUUCUUGAAGCCAGAGCAAUUUCAUCUUGGAGCAUUAAAAUCAACAUUGACUGUUGAUUUAACUUUUCUUAAGCAAGUCCAGUUAAGUAUGUCUUUAGACCCUCUUGUUCAUGAUAUCAAGAAUAAUUCUUCUAAAUCUCAUGAUCCUUCUAAAUUUGAAUUCAAGAAUAACCUACUCUAUUUCGAAGGAUGCCUAUAUGUUCCAGAAGGAGAAGCACGUUUACGUAUUCUUCAAGCUCGUCACGAUUUUCCAGCAGCAGGACAUUUUAGAUAUAAUAAGACUUUGGAGCUGAUACCUAGGGAUUUUUGGUAGCCUCAAAUAUGGAAGGCAGUUAAAGACUUUGUACAAUCAUGUGAUAUUUGCUCAAGAUCAAAAACUCCUUGUCAUCGACCUUUUGGACUUCUUCAGCCAUUACCCAUUCCACAACAACCAUGGUUUUUUGUUUCUAUAGACUUCAUCACGGAUCUUCCAAUCUCAGGUUUUAUGACUCUAUAUUCAUGAUAGUAGAUCCUUUUACCAAGAUGGCACAUUUUGUACCAUGUACAAAAUCUAUCAGAGGUGAAGAAACAGCUAAACUCUUUCUUGACAAUAUCUAUCGCUAUCAUGGAUUACCCAAGGAUAUUAUAUCAAAUAGGGGAACUCAAUUUGUAUCAAGAUUUUGGCGGACUCUUUUCAUGAUUCUAAAAGUAGAUAUAAAACUAUCUUUGGUAUUCCAUCCUCAAAUUGAUGGACAAACGGAGCGUGUUAAUCAAGUUUUAGAACAAUAUUUAAGAUGUACCAUUAAUUACCAACAAGAUGAUUGGACAACUCUUUUGUCAUUGGCAGAGUUUGCUUACAAUAACACGGUACAUUCUUCUACAAAACAAACACCUUUCUUUACUAAUUAUGGUUAUCAUCUACAACUUGAUACUUUUGACUUUUCAAAAGUUGAUAAUCCUGCUGCGAAAGAUUUAGCAAUUUAUUUAUCAGAGCUGCAUGCAAUGAUGAAGGUGCAGUUAAAAGAGGCUCAAGAACAACAAAAGGUCAAUGUGGAUGUCUAUCGAAAGGAACAACCAUCAUUCGUCUUGGGUGAAAAGAUAUGGCUACUUUGUCGCAAUAUCAAGACCACUCGUCCUUGUGACAAGUUGGACUAUCGAAGGGUAUGACCAUUUUCUAUUUCUGCACAAAUCAAUCCAGUUGCAUAUCGUUUACAUCUACCAGAGUCAAUGAAAAUCCAUCUAGUAUUCCACGUGUCUCUUCUUGAACCAUACAAGACAGUGGACAUACCAAGAAGACGACAAGCUCCACCUCCUCCUAUAGAAGUGGACAGUAAUAAAGAAUUUGAAGUAGAAGAAGUCUUAGAUUCAAGGCGGCGUCGAAAUAAAUUAGAAUAUCUUGUCCAUUGGCACGGAUAUGGUAUUAGUGAACGCACAUGGGAGCCAAUAAAGAAUCUUGCAAAUGCAACAAAGGCGGUGGAGGCUUUUCAUCGACGACAUCCAUCAAUAUCAAGUUGAAAACCUUCUUUAUAAAAGAAACAACAUCUAGGCAAGAUAACAUUCUACUUUCAAUUCUUGUUCGUAGCUUCUUUGUAGUAGUGACGCUCAGGAGAUGGAGAACCAACAACCAGCGAAUUUGACUCAAGAGCCUUCAUUUGUUGACCUGUCGGAUGAGACAUUACGAUUGUCACAACCUUCAAGACGACGCAAUCAAGAUGAAGAUCUUCAAGAAUGACAUGUUCUUCCUCGAAUAGAUGGCGAGAUACAACGCAUUUGGUAUCACGAUUUGGGAAGGGACUCCCGAUGUUUGGUGAUUGUACUAAAGGUAGGAACAACUCCUGAUGGUGUUCCAAAUAUUCUAUUCGAAGGAAGUUACGAAGGCCUCAACAAUGAUCAAAUAAUUGGGUGGUCUUCCCGCCCUGGUAUGGGACACUACUAAUGGUUGAGAGGUCCUAUCAAUCAUCUUCGAAGUAAACAAAGAUCAUAGUAUAUAGCGAAUAUAAUUCGUCGCAUCAUAGAUUUCCUCAAUAUAUGAUGACCGCUCCUCAUAGAACUCGUUCCUAGAAGGGGGGAUAAUGUCACGGACAUAAUCAUGUAAGCUAGUAAUUACAUAUACAAAUAGGUAGAAGUAAGUAAAAGUAGGUAAAAGUAAGUUAAUUCUAUAGUAUUUAAUAUAAAAGCUUUCUAGAAGCUUCAUAGACACUACUUUGACUUCAUAGGUGUCUUUAAUUGACUUUUUGGAUUAAAAACGUGGUCAACAAGUUGACCAUGUACCACACAUGUUGUUAGCUUGAAGAUCAAGCUAACAAUGUGGCCCACACGUAGAAAAACUUGCCUUGUAAGUCAAGGCAUGUGUCCUACAAAGUCAACACAUAUUGGAGGUCCUAUAGAACAUCGCCAUGUAGCCCUUAGUUAGAUAGUAUAUAUAGUGACAAGAGUGAAGGCUUCUUCACUCUUGUCAACUCUUUUCUUGCUUCUAGUCUAGUUUCAAGGGUCUCUAGUUUUCUUGUCUUUUGGCAAUAGCCAUUCCAGUUUCUCUUUCAAUUUAUAUACUUGUUUAUAUAUAUUUUGUUACCUCUCUUUGAGUGAAGGCUCACUUGUGUGAAUUAUUUUUUCAUCGAGUUCUUAUCCUUGACACCUUGCUAUAUAAUUUGUAUUUGAAAAAUAUGAAAUUAUAGCAUCAUUAUUAAGAAAAACAGUUGCAGUUUUUUGAUAUCGAGCUUGAAUAUAAGUAAAGGCAAUAAUAUAUUGUGUCAAACAGUUUAUUAUGGAGAUCAGACUUAAAGGACGGAUUAAAAGAUAUGGCAAAAGUCGCUACCAUUAGAAGUAUCAUUUUCGAUCUAAUCAAUGAAGCAAAGUAAAAAGCAGCUACGCAACAAGAUGUUUAUUUUAAGAUGCUUAGUAAUUGGCUCAAGAAAGAUGAUAUAUAAUAUCAAAAUUAUACUCUUGCUUGCUCUAUUUCAAGAAGCAAAUUUAUGUCCUCGACAAUACUAAAUUCCAGAUGCGCAUACUUUAAGAAGGAAAUGAUAUCCCAUUAUUUGGACAUUUGUGACAAGACAAAAUCCUAAAUCAAAUCUCAAGGAUAUGAUUUUAGGCAGGUUUGGAUCAUGAUAUUCAAGCCUUUAUACACUCUUGUGAGUCAUGUCAAAGUAACAAAGCACGUAACAUAGUAUCUUUUAGACUAUUGCUGACAAUUUUGCUACAUACAAUACGUUGAGAAGAAGUGACUAUGGAUCUCAUUACAUGUUUGCCAUAGACGCUUCAUAAUCAUAUCGUGGUUUCUAUCUUUGUAAAUCGACUCUUGAAGUAACUUCAUUUAGCUAUGAUGCACUUGGAUAUUGAUGCCUCAAUAUUUGUAUGAGUCUUUUUUAAUACCAUCUUUUGUCACCAUGAAUUAUUAAAAUAAAAGUAUUAUAAGUUACCUUAUAGAGGAUAUUAACUUAGAUAAGUUGCUAGUUGUCAAAGGUUUGACUCUUGGUAUAUAAUAAGGGCAUCCAAUGGAUAUAGGACGAAGUCAUGGACCAAGAGUCAAAGUCAAAAGGAUAAAGUAUUAACAAGAGAAUAUCCAAAGACUAAGUAUGAGUCAUUAGUAUGUGUCAUAGGAUAUUCUCGAGGCUCGUGAAAUGCCAAAAAGAUCCUUGGGCUACGUGUGUAAAAGUCAAAGAGUGGAAGUUAUCUUUUAGGGCAACAACCACUAUCUAUAAGUAAUGAGUAUUGGAAGUGAGAAACGUCUUAUUCCAUACUCUCUUUGUGUGCAACCUUACUGAUGCUAAGUAUUGUGUCUUCAAAGUGCUUGUUCUUCAAUAUGAAUUACUUUGUAUUAACAUUUUAGAUCAAGAUCCAUACUUCAUAAGAAGUUUUUGAUAAACCUUAUUUAAGCUAUUAGGCACAUGACUUGCCAUAUCUACAGCCCUCCAUCUCUAAACAGAUGGACAAACACAACGUGCAAAUUGGACCUUGGAAGAUAUAUUGUAGGCAUUUGUGGUGGUUCAUCAUAAUGAUUGAGAUGAAUACUUGAUGCAUUUAGAGUUUACUUACAAUAAUAGUAUUCAAGCAAGUAUUGAUCAUUUAUCAUUUUUUCUAAAUAUCAAUGAAUAUCCAUUUAUAUUAGUAACUUUUUAUUUUUUUUUAUUGAUAUCAAGAAUCCAAAAACGGAGGAAUUUAUACAAUAGCUUAUAAUGGCCUUACAAGAGGUACGAUACUACUUCCUUACUAUAUAGAAUCGAUAGAAGUAAUACAUAGAUAACCAUCAAUAAUACAAGAUCUUUCGAGAGGGUGAUCAAGUGUUACUCUCCAAUGCCAACUUGCCACUUGCUACAUCAAUCGAAAUCCAUAAACUAGUACCUCAGUAGCUUAGACCUUUCCACAUUUCUGUAGUGAUUUUUGAUGUUAUAUAUUGCCUCAAGCUUUCACCACAUAUUUGGAUCUAUCCAUUCUUUCAUAUUUUGCAAUUGAAGGAAUUUCAUAUCAAGCCAAAACACUUUCCAAAUCGACAUCGAUCACUACUACUACUAAUUGUAAUUGAUGAUCAACAAGAAUAUAAAGUGAAUAGUAUUUUCGAGCAUCACUACCUUUGUCGUGGUAGUAGACAUCAAGAACUUCAUUACAAAGUUCUUUAGAAAGAUUAUCUCAUUAACGAUGCAACAAGAGAAUGUAUACAAAAUCUCAUCCAUUGCCAAGAGGCAAUUUGGAAAUACCAUCGAGAGUAAAACGAGGAUGUUUUGUAUUAGUAGAGGAAAAUUAAUUGUAAUAUAUUAUAAAUAAGAUAAUUAUAUAGAUAGUUAGAACCAUGGAAGUUUCUAGAAUUGGGAUUAGGUUAGUGGACCAAGUAAGAUCUACCUUAGAAUCUUGUAGAAAAAGAAUUUAAGGGGGUUAUCUAAAUAGGAUCCACUACCUAAGAACAUUCUAGAAAGUCCAAGGUGGUAGGACAAGGUAGAAAUAGGAUUGGCGAGGUUUAGGGUUUAAGGUUUAGGAUUUAGGGUUUAGAGUUUUAGGUGGAAGAAGUCUUAGAUUUAAGGUGGCACUAAAAUAGAUUGAAAUAUCUUGUUAAUUGAUAGGAAUAUGAUAUAAAUAAAUACAUAUGGGAGCCAACAAAAAAUCUUGCAAAUGCAUCAAAGAAAAUUGAAGCUUUUAAUUGAUGAUUCAUGUUAAAAGCAAGAUGAAAAAUAAUAAGAUCCAUAAAAGUUGAUGAUUGCUCCUUAUAGAACUUUUUCUUAGAAGGAGAAGUAAUAUCAUGGAUAUAUAUAUUUACUCUAAUAAUUACCUAUAUGAUUAAGUAAAACUAGAUAAAAAACAAUUCAUUUCAUAAUAUUUUUUAGAAAAGCUUUCUAAAAGCUUCAUAGAUAUUACUUUGAUUUUAUACAUGUUUCUAGUUAAUUGAUAGGUUAGAAAUUUUGUCAACAAGUUAGGCAUGUAUUAUAUGUAUUAAUAGCUUGUGGAACAAGUUAAUUAUGUGGUGUAUAUAUAGAUAACUUAUGUUACAAGUUAAGCAUAUGUCUAGCAAAGUCAAUACGUAGUAGAGGUCCUAUAGCAUAUCGCCAAAUAGCUCUUAGUUAGAAAGUAUAUAUGGAGGCAAGAGUGAAGCCUCCUUCACUCUUAUCAAUGCCUUUCUAGUCCCUAGUCUUGUUUCAAGACUUUCUAAUCUUCUUUUCUUUGGUAAUAGUCAUUCUAGUUUACUACUAUAUCAAAUUUGAGUGAUUUUUUUAAUCUUUUUGAGUAACAUAAGAAUAUAUUGAUCUUUUAAUUCUUUGAGGUUUAUGUCCUUGAUAAUAAAUAGUCUUAUGAAGUCAAUACAUUAUACCCAGUUGAGGUGAGAUGAUGCCUUCCAGAACUUUCAUAUAGUUCUUCUUGAAGAUGUCUAUUCAAAAAAGUGAUUUUAACAUCUAUUUGAAGUUUGAUGUGCCACAAGACAAAGCUUUGAAGCAAUCCACAACCCCAUAACUUUUUAGCUUGAUUUUAUAUAUCCAUUUGCAUGUGAUGAGCUUGCAAUCAUAAGAAGCUAGGUGAAUGACCAUGUAGCAUUGACAACAUGAGAAUUUAGCUCUUCUUGUAUUACCAAUUGCCAUUGAGAGCCCUUAUAAGAAUUGAUGGCUUGAGAAUAGCUAGUAGGUUCAAUGGAAACAGUAGAAACCAUAAUGAGAGCUCAAGAAAUCUGUUUUGUUUCAGUACGAGGAGGAAGGGCCUCCAGGGCAUAGUUCUCAUCAGGGUCAUGCGGCGGAGGUACACCUUUACUGUGUCGAGAAGAACGUCGAACUGGAGCAGAAGGAGGCAGUUCGAGAGCCUCCAUGGAGCCAUAUCGGAUACAGAGGGGAAGUAGGCGGUCGGGCGGACUAGGCAUGCCUUCCGAGAUGAGGCAUGAGCUCCCGCUGGCGCGAUUAAUGCGGAUGGAUACCCAGUGGCUACGGGAGUCUCACAACGCACAGCCGGGGAUGACGAGGAUCCAGGGCCGCCCGGCGCGGGGUGUGGGCCAGCGCGCAAACCAGAGGAGCCUUCACAAGACCGCCGAGAGAAUUCGCCGCAGAGAAGACAGCGAGGCUGUCAAGGGGGUUCGCUGCGGAGGGGACUGCGAGGUUGCCACGUGGAGUCUGGGGAUGGUCAGGGGGAUCUGCUGAAGGAGGAACCUCGAGGUGGAUACUGGAAAAACGGGGUUGACCAUCGGGGUCAACCAUGGCGGAGGUGGGCAUGGUGUCAGCAGGGAGCACAUUCCCAUAGGCUCCAGAUGGCUGCUCCAAGAUGGGAUAACCCAUGGGUUGAAAAAUCCGCAAAUCCGUUGGAAUAAUGGCUUCAGGAGGAUUCAGGAAGUGUGAGGCAGGAGGAGAAUGAGCGACGGGCUCCUCCUGAAACACAUCUCUUGAAAUAAGAAGCACUCCAUUUGUGAUUCUUUGAAUCUUAUAUCCUUUACUAAGGGAGCUACAACCAAGCAAUAUAUAUUCAAAAGUUUUAUUGUCAAGUUUAACUCAAAGAGGAUCUUAAAUCUUUGCAAAACAUUGGCUUCCAAAGAUGCAAAGGUGAGCAAUAUCUGGUUUUCUUUUGCACCAUAAUUCAAAGGGAGUUUUGUCAUUUGAAAUUUCUUUGGUAGCACAACAAUUUUUAAGGUAUGUAGCAAAUGUGACAGCUUUGCCCCAAUAUGGUUUUGAUAAUUUAGCUUCAUCAAGCAUACAUCUAGUGGCAUUGAGAAGAGUGUGGUUUUUUUGUUCUGCAAUGCCAUUUUGACAAGGAGUAUAUGCUGAGGUAAGUUGAUGUUGAAUACCAUGAGUUUCCAAAUAUUAGUCAAAAUUAGAAGAGAGGUAUUCUCUUCCUUGAUCGGAGUGGACAACUUAUAGUUUAUAUCCCAUUUGAUUUUUAUCCCGUAUAUAUAAUAUUUUGAAUACAUUGAAGCAUUCACUCUUGCAAUGGAGAAGUUGGAGCACUGUACAACAAAAGAAAUUAUUCAUAAAUAUAACAUAAUAUUCAGACUUGGAGAAAGUAGGUGGGGCUAUAUGGCCAUUUAAAUCAGAAUGAACUAAUUGGAGGGAUUGAGUAGUUCAAUUUGUAGUUGCUUUUGGAAUUUUUGUCAUGGUUUGAUUUUAAUAAAGGCAUGUUAGGCAUAAUUGUGGGAGAACUCUUUUAAUGGAUAAACCUAUAACAUACUUAUUAGUGGCAAGUUGUAGUAAUCUUUUGGUACUUAUAUGCUCCAACCUAUGAUACUACAAAUUAAAAGAAUUUUGUAAAGAUGUUACAUAUUCUAAAUUCUAAAAAGUAAUAGCCAAAUUUGAAUACAUCUCAAGGAGAGUUUUUUUAUGUGAGUCUUUACCCUAAGUAAUAGUUAAAUUGGACUUUAUUUUUUUAUCUUGUAAUAUUGUGUUUUCAAGGAUAUAUGUGUUUUCAAGGAUAUAUAAAUACACAAGGUAAUUGUAAAAUCAUCUUUUAUAAGAAGUCUUCACAUAUGAUUUUUUGUGUUAUGAAUUUUGCUUAUAGAUAUGCUUGAGUGACGAUAUUACUUGUAGAAUAGGUAUUUUCAAGUGCAAGCCACGCUUCAUUGGCUAUUGUGCACUCUCCUAUAUGGGAGAACAUGGAAUUAUCUACACAAUCUCAUAUGGCGGCUAAUCUGCCAUGAUCUUGCUUUUUCCAUUGGGUGAUUGUAACUUGGUUAAUUGGUGGUGUUAACAUUGUUGCAUUGUCUUCCAAGAUUGGCUAGUUCUUUUUCUUUGCGAGAUACUAAUUCCUAUAAGUCUUCAAUUUCAAUUUUCAUUUGGAUUUUCUUUUUCCAAACUAUAUACCAAAAACCAUCAAACUUUGACCAUUCCUCGGUUGAUAGGCUUGUUGUUGCCAUUUUGAAGAGAAGGUAAGAGAAUUGGUGCCUCAAUUUCUAUGACAAAUGUCUUUGUCAAUACUUCCUUCUCUUGUGAUUGUUUAUUGUUUUUCUGGAAUUUCAAUGUCAAGAAUUC
rnacentral:lncRNA from 1 species